GAUGGACGCUGGCGGCGUGCCUAAUACAUGCAAGUCGAGCGAACAGACGAGGAGCUUGCUCCUCUGACGUUAGCGGCGGACGGGUGAGUAACACGUGGAUAACCUACCUAUAAGACUGGGAUAACUUCGGGAAACCGGCGCUAAUACCGGAUAAUAUAUUGAACCGCAUGGUUCAAUAGUGAAAGACGGCUUUGCUGUCUCUUCUAGAUGGAUCCGCGCCGCAUUAUCUAGUUGGUACGGUAACGGCUUACGAAGGCAACGAUGCGUAGCCGAGCUGGGAGAGUGAUCGGCGACACUGGAACUGAGACACGGUCCAUACUCCUACGGGAGGCAGCAGAAGGGAAUCUGACGCAGUAGGGGAAAGCCUGACGGAACAACGGGGCGUGAGUGAUGAAGGUGUUCGGAUCGUGAAACUCUGUUAUUAGGGAAGAACAAAUGUGGAAGUUACUAUACACGUCUUGACGGUACCGAAUCAGAAAGCCACGGCUAACUACGUG
rnacentral:rRNA from 1 species